rnacentral:rRNA from 1 species
GACGAACGCUGGCGGCGUGCUUAACACAUGCAAGUCGAACGGAAAGGCCCUGCUUUUGUGGGGUGCUCGAGUGGCGAACGGGUGAGUAACACGUGAGUAACCUGCCCUUGACUUUGGGAUAACUUCAGGAAACUGGGGCUAAUCCCGGAUAGGAGCUCCUGCUGCAUGGUGGGGGUUGGAAAGUUUCGGCGGUUGGGGAUGGACUCGCGGGUUAUCAGCUUGUUGGUGGGGUAGUGGCUUACCAAGGCUUUGACGGGUAGCCGGCCUGAGAGGGUGACCGGCCACAUUGGGACUGAGAUACGGCCCAGACUCCUACGGGAGGCAGCAGUGGGGAAUAUUGCACAAUGGGCGGAAGCCUGAUGCAGCAACGCCGCGUGCGGGAUGACGGCCUUCGGGUUGUAAACCGCUUUCGCCUGUGACGAAGCGUGAGUGACGGUAAUGGGUAAAGAAGCACCGGCUAACUACGUG